rnacentral:tRNA from 1 species
GCUCGCUUAGCUCAGUGGUAGAGCAUUGUACUUAUGAGGGCACGUGAUUACCUGCGCAUAUCAUGCAAGGGUCGGCAGUUCGACCCUGCCAGUGAGCA